AGCGAACGCUGGCGGCAGGCUUAACACAUGCAAGUCGAACGGGCAUCUUCGGAUGUCAGUGGCAGACGGGUGAGUAACACGUGGGAACGUACCCUUCGGUUCGGAAUAACUCAGGGAAACUUGAGCUAAUACCGGAUACGCCCUUUUGGGGAAAGGUUUACUGCCGAAGGAUCGGCCCGCGUCUGAUUAGCUUGUUGGUGGGGUAACGGCCUACCAAGGCGGCGAUCAGUAGCUGGUCUGAGAGGAUGAUCAGCCACACUGGGACUGAGACACGGCCCAGACUCCUACGGGAGGCAGCAGUGGGGAAUAUUGGACAAUGGGCGCAAGCCUGAUCCAGCCAUGCCGCGUGAGUGAUGAAGGCCUUAGGGUUGUAAAGCUCUUUUGUCCGGGACGAUAAUGACGGUACCGGAAGAAUAAGCCCCGGCUAACUUCGUG
rnacentral:rRNA from 1 species